GUGGGGAAUAUUGGGCAAUGGGCGAAAGCCUGACCCAGCAACGCCGCGUGAAGGAAGAAGGUUUUCGGAUUGUAAACUUCUAUCCUUGGUGAAGAUAAUGACGGUAGCCGAGAAGGAAGCCCCGGCUAACUACGUGCCAGCAGCCGCGGUAAUACGUAGGGGGCAAGCGUUGUCCGGAAUGAUUGGGCGUAAAGGGCGCGUAGGCGGCCUGGUAAGUCUGGAGUGAAAGUCCUGCUUUUAAGGUGGGAAUUGCUUUGGAUACUGUCGGGCUUGAGUGCAGGAGAGGUAAGUGGAAUUCCCGGUGUAGCGGUGAAAUGCGUAGAGAUCGGGAGGAACACCAGUGGCGAAGGCGACUUACUGGACUGUAACUGACGCUGAGGCGCGAAAGUGUGGGGAGCAAACAGGAUUAGAAACCCCUGUAGUCC
rnacentral:rRNA from 1 species